rnacentral:rRNA from 1 species
AACGAACGCUGGCGGCAGGCUUAACACAUGCAAGUCGAACGCUCGUAGCAAUACGGGAGUGGCGGACGGGUGAGUAACGCGUGGGAACGUGCCCUGAGGUACGGAAUAACUGAGGGAAACUUCAGCUAAUACCGUAUGAGCCCCGAGAGGGGGAAAGAUUUAUCGCCUUGGGAGCGGCCCGCGUCGGAUUAGCUAGUUGGUGGGGUAACGGCCUACCAAGGCUUCGAUCCGUAGCUGGUCUGAGAGGACGAUCAGCCACACUGGGACUGAGACACGGCCCAGACUCCUACGGGAGGCAGCAGUGGGGAAUCUUGCGCAAUGGGGGGCAACCCUGACGCAGCCAUGCCGCGUGAACGAUGAAGGCCUUAGGGGUUGUAAAGUUCUUUUACCCGUGACGAUGAUGACGGUAACGGGGGAAUAAGCUCCGGCUAACUUCGUGCCAGCAGCCGCGGUAAU